rnacentral:rRNA from 1 species
UACGUAGGGGGCAAGCGUUGUCCGGAUUUAUUGGGCGUAAAGAGCGUGUAGGCGGCCAUGCAGGUCAGCUGUGAAAACUCGAGGCUCAACCUCGAGACGUCGGUUGAAACCGUAUGGCUAGAGUCCGGAAGAGGAGAGUGGAAUUCCCGGUGUAGCGGUGAAAUGCGUAGAGAUCGGGAGGAACACCAGUGGCGAAGGCGGCUACCUGGACCAGCACUGACACUGAAGCACGAAAGCGUGGGGAGCAAACAGG